AAGUCGUAACAAGGUUUCCGUAGGUGAACCUGCGGAAGGAUCAUUACCGAGCAAGGGUCCUCGGGCCCGACCUCCCACCCUUUGUUGUCGAACAAACCUUGUUGCUUUGGCGGGACCGCUCGACCCUCACGGGUCGGCCGCCGGAUCCCAGAUCGGGCAUGCGCCCGCCAGAGUCCAACCAAACACUUUUUAAAAUCUUACGUCUGAGUAAAUGAUUUAAUCAAUCAAAA
rnacentral:misc_RNA from 1 species